CACAUUUUAAAAUGCAUAUGCUGCACACAUACAGGAGUUGGAUUGCAGAAGACAAAAUGAGUUGCUGCCAUCCUUGCAUGAUCCAAAUCUAGCAACAGAAAUUCCAAAGCAAAACUUGCAGUUUCAUGCAGUUGGUUCUGGUUAAUGUUGAAAUUGAAGAUGGAAAAGAAAAAAAAUAAUGUUAAAAUGAAAGCAGAUAUGAGAUAACAUACUAGACAUUUGGUGAUCCAAAAAUAACUGGAGUUCAUGAAAGAAGACAGAUUGCUGAGACACAUCUUAAUUGAUAAAUAUGUUUAUGAUGGAGACAAACUUGGAUAAUAUUAUGGAUUCUUUGGUGUUAAAAAAUUGCAAGCUCAAACAAAAAUAAAUUGAAAUAAAUAUGCUUUAAAAAAAAAGAAGAAAAAAAACGACAAUGUGAAUCUCACCGAAGGUUUAAAAACAACCAAGUCAACACACAGUUGCAACACAAAUGAGAUAGAGAUUGAUUUGCAAGGAUAUAUAGUGUGUUCUCACUGUCUCACCAUCAGGAGAGAUUUCUCAUCAGCGAAGAAGAUACUUCUGUAUUAAAAGGUCAUCAAUAUUGAAGACAAUCAAGAAGAUUACAAGUUACUUAGAUUGACUAACUAGUUUCAUUGAUUGAAUUAUUACUAAAUUACCUUUUGUAGUUCAUGUAGUUACAUGCAUGAAAUUUUGUAUCAGAUAGUAUGGAAACAGUUUAAUACUUCCCUAAAUUCCAUACCAAAUGAAACGAUUGUUUUGUGCUGCUAAGUCAAUUCGAAUUUAACUUUUAUGUAUGUUUAUAACAUGUAAAAUAAUAUUAUUCUUGAAUGUUACAGCACCAUUUAGUGUUGUUGUAUCAUCUUCAUUGAUUGUUAAAUAUAAUACUAAUGCUAUAAAAAAAGAUGACAUUUAUGAUCAUUUAUACAGAUUGAGAUAUUUAAAAAUUUAUCAAUGCUAAAAGAGAAUUUAUAAAUUUAGACAUUUUUCGAGGAGAUUUUUAAUAGUACUACAACAAAAGCAAACCAAUAGUAUAUGCUCAAAUGCACUAUUAACUUUCUCACCAGAUAACCAAAUAGAGAUAUGUUUGUAUUUUGAUUAAAUUAAUGAAGCGUAUGCUAGUUUAAAUAAAUAUGUACAUGUACAUGCAAUUUUAAGGUUUUUAAAUAAUGGCAUUUUUAUUGGAUUAUCUCCCUUUGUACAAUAGAAAUUCAGAUUUUAUCCACAAUGUCUCAGAUAUUCAUGACCAAAAUGACUUAUAGACAAUAAUAACUGUUUUCAUUAGAAACAAGAACAGAUUGAAGAGGUCGUAUGAAUAAUCAAAUAUAAUUUCGAAAAUUGCUAUUAAUAAUUCAUGAGGAAAAGUGAUAUCACGUCAGUGACUGUAUAUAUACAUGUUCGGUCAACGCAUUUUGACUGC